UCCGCCCCACGCUCUCCCUGCCGCCGCCUCCUCGUCCUCCUCCCGCCUGUCCUUGGUCCACUCUUCCCUCAGCCGGCGCUCCACGGCCCUGUUUGGGGCUCGCCUGAGGGCUGGGCUCUGUAGACGCGGGGAUGGGCCAGGCGAGCCCCUGACCCCCGGAGGUAGCAGGUCCAGAGGAAUCAGCAGAGGCUUCCUGGAGGAGGUUUUUGUACCCCUAGGAGGACUGCGUCUUCCUCAUCUUUGUCUUCGGAAGAUAAAUACAAGGCCUGACACAUAGCAAGCAUUAGGGCUGCAAUAGAUAUCUCUGUCAUUCAUCUUUCUGGACAUGUGGAAGUGUAUCUGUUGAAUUAAUUCCUGGAAGCUGAAUGCCUGGGUCACAGGCUAAUAUCACAAAAUGAGGACAACCAGACAUUUAAUUCCUCCUGAUGGAAGUUCACAGUACUAUCUGAAUAAUUCACUAUACAAUCAAGCCUCUAGAUCUAACCUUGGUUGCCAGGAGCCAGUCUCCUGGACAACAGUGGAGAGGUUCCCAAGCCCUUCUUUUGCUCCUUGUGAGCCUCUCCCAGCCUGAUCCCACCUUACACAGAUGAGAAAACCGACUUGGCAAAGAAUCACCUGCCUACUUUUCAGCUGUGGGCCCUUGGACAGGGAACUUAGUCUCUGAGCCUGAUGUCAUCUUACACAGUCAAAACAAACCAUAAUGCUUGCUCCAGUGGCCCCUGACAUGUGCAUUCUCACCAAUGUUUGCUUCUCUUUUCAAAAAGAAUAAAAAGACCCAUCCUGGACCAAUGUU